CCUACGGGUGGCUGCAGUAGGGAAUCUUCCGCAAUGGGCGCAAGCCUGAUGCAGCCAUGCCGCGUGUGUGAAGAAGGCCUUCGGGUUGUAAAGCACUUUCAGCGGGGAGGAAGGCGUUAAGGUUAAUAACCUUGGCGAUUGACGUUACCCGCAGAAGAAGCACCGGCUAACUCCGUGCCAGCAGCCGCGGUAAUACGGAGGGUGCAAGCGUUAAUCGGAAUUACUGGGCGUAAAGCGCACGCAGGCGGUCUGUCAAGUCGGAUGUGAAAUCCCCGGGCUCAACCUGGGAACUGCAUUCGAAACUGGCAGGCUAGAGUCUUGUAGAGGGGGGUAGAAUUCCAGGUGUAGCGGUGAAAUGCGUAGAGAUCUGGAGGAAUACCGGUGGCGAAGGCGGCCCCCUGGACAAAGACUGACGCUCAGGUGCGAAAGCGUGGGGAGCAAACAGGAGUAGAUACCCCUGUAGUC
rnacentral:rRNA from 1 species